ensembl:lncRNA
GCAAGGGUUUGGAGGUGAGGGGUGAACUGUUAUCUAUUCAUCAAGGGGAACCAUUUGUAUCAAAGCCACAUUUUGAUGAAUUUUUUCACAAUUUAAUUUCUGAGAAUUANNNNCUUCUGGAGUUCUUCAUUUCUAAAGUAUACUGUCUUAUUAAUUAAUUUGGCAAAUUGAAUUCUCAAUGUGUGUCAGAAAGAAUACUAGAUUUUGGUGAUACAGUGAUGACUAAGAAGAAAACAUUAGGGCUCAAAACAUUAUGAUCUCAUAGGGUGAGUAAGUAGAUUAAUGAGUGAUGAGAAUAACAAUAUGCUUAUGUGAGAUUAUAAAACAGAAACAUCUGAUCCAGUCUUGGAGGGUCCAGACAUCUAAAGAGGGACUAGAAAUAAACAAGACUGAGAGAAAAGAGAGAGACAGCUACACAAACCUACUGAGGCUGAAGCCAGUCAACCAAGCAUAGUCUGUGAUGUUCCAUUUGUACUAAAUGAGGUCAUCUCUGAACCCCAUAAGUCAUCGAGAAAAGACCAUGGCUGCUAGCUUGGACCAAUCAAAAUCUGUACCUGGAUUAGAUGGACUGUGUGUUUUCAGCCACUUUCUGCUAGCUUGGAGCAAAUGCGUGGACAUUCUCCUUUGGAGACAGGCUAUGGAUGGAGUCAAAGAACUUAAGAUGAAGAGUUUCUGCAAAAAUACAGCCGAGAGGGUCUUGCACUUCUCAGAAUCUGUCCUGUAGAGAAACUCAGGAAUGUGCAAGGAUAAACUGACAAGGAAGUUAAACAAGUGCUAGCCCACCCAUGUUCAAGACUAUGUGAUUAUUAAUGGUGCAGAUCUAUGUAUUGAUAAGGAGAAUCUCUAUGAUGUAUUUUUUAUUUGAAAAUAAAAUUUAAAAAAAAUUGUUGUAGCUUAUAGUCUUAUUUAAAUAAAAUAGAGAUAAAAUGUUCAUAAGUGGAUGAAUGUUUAGAUUGAGAACUUUAGGGUACCCACCAGGUGUGAUUGGCUUUUGAGUGGAGGAGUAAUGAAAUGGAUAAAAAGAAUAGCUGAUAUUGAUGAAGCUCUUAUAUGUACCAGGCACUAUUCUAAAUUGUACAGUCAUAAAGUGAUCCCUAUCAUAACUCUUUUACAGAGGUCCUACUGUUUUUUCCAUUUAACAGAGAUGAGGUAAAGAGAAUUGAAAUCGCAUGUCUGGAGUUAAAACAGAAAAUUAUCCUAAAGAGGUGAAAACAGGGUACAAGUUCAUUUAGUCGGACUAUGUAGAGUCUUACCUAAGUCACUGCAUCAUACGGGGUAAACUGGGCAUUCACUUCAGAAAUACUUUUUUCAAUUUUGNNNNNNUCUAUGAGGUUUGAAUAUCUUCAUCAAACACAUAUUACUUAAUAACUCUAAUACAAUGCAUUUGCAAAAUGAAAUUAUAUAUGUGAAAGCACUUUUUUAUAGCCUGUCACUUGCUGUACUUACAGAAAUUCAAAGCUUUAAGAGAGGCUCAUUAUAUUAAAACAAAAAAAAAAAGUUGGCUCACACAUCAAUACCUCUUUAUUCCGUCUUUGCUAGGAUAAGGGAAGUCAAAAAUAAGUCAGUUGCAUCCCCAGUUUUACUUGCAUUUUCUUCAUAAUGCGGCUCAUGAUUGCUUUGCAGAUGCACUCUGAUUAUCAAAUUGUGCCUCCUUCUAAACGCACUCGUGUCAAUUGCACAUCAGACAAUAACUAGCAAGUGGUGUCAGCGCCCCAUCGUCAGAGCUACUGUCUGCCACAAAGCAUCUGGGCCAAGAAUAAGAAUGACAAGUGUAUACAUUUCCAGCUUUGCAAUCAACAUGGAAAUUAGUCAGCUUAUAGAUGCUGAGUGGUCUUAUAGAGAGGGCCCCAGCUGCAGACAAAAUGCCAAACUGAUGCUGAUAAACAGAGCAGAGACAUUUAGCAGCUUUUCUUUUCAGCUGCUUGAAGUUUGAAAGCCUUGGUGGUAGGGCGGGGCUGGCAGGAGUUGCUGAAUUAUUUCAGAACUGGAGGGGGUCUUCAAGGAGGAUUGUUCUGUGAGGAUCCUGAGGCUCAGGAAGGGACUAAUGGGAGAUCACGUGGCAAAGUAGGAGAGGGGGGAAGUGAGGUGUGAGCCCAGCAUAAGGGUGCAGCCCUUGGCAUUUUCUUUGUUUUUUUUGCAUCAUUGAAUUCAUA